UGUCACGCAAACACAAAGGAACAAGGGCGCACGCGUCACGGAUCACGUUCACGUUCACGGCGCAUUGAUGAAAGCCGCCAUCUUGUCCAGCAUCUCCUUGGCCUUGUCGCAGUCGGGUUUGAAGAGGAAGAAGACAUGGCCCUCUCCCAUGGUCUCCAGCAGCUCGACGCCGGCGGCCUGCCCCAGGCGGCCUCCCCUCGCCGCGGCCACCGCCUCGGCGUACGCGCGGCCGCGCCACCUGAGGAAGUCGCCCUCCGCGGUACACACCAUGACGCGCUCACACGCCAGCGUGUGGAGUCCCGGUGCGGCGGGCGCCAUGGGGUUCAUCCGCGGGUCUUCCAUGCUAUUAGCAUCGGGGCACGCGAAGAACCAGAGUCCGGCGCCCAUGGUGCGCACGGCGGGGUCCCUGGGCUCCUCGCCCACGGCCUCGGAGCCCCAGAACCAGGGGUGGAUGAGCACGGCGCCCUUGAGCGGCGGCGGGCAGCCCUGCUGCUGCGCCUGGACGACGUCCGGGUGGAUGGCGAGGUAGUGGCAGACGUUGCCGCCGGCGCUGUCCCCGGCGACGAAGACGCGCGCGAGAUCCCCGUGGGCGGCGACCCAGGGGUCGGCGGCGGAAAGCACCCACUUGAGCGCGGCGAGGCAGUCGUCGUACCCCGCCGGGAGCGGGUGCUCGGGCGCCAGGCGGUAGUCGACGGAGACCGCGAGCGCGGGGCAGGCGGCGGCGAGCCUGUUGAGGAAGAGGUGGUAGUUGGGCGAGGCGGCGGACUCGGCCACGAAGCCGCCGCCGUGCACGAACACGACGACGGGCAGCUUGGCACCGGCGUCGGCCACGGGGGGCAGGUAGAGGCGGGCCGAGUAGGAGCCGAGGUGGACGUCCUUGGAUUGGACCCCCGUGGCGGCGUCGUGGCCAGGCUCCACGGGCGGAGCCACCAGGGGCCGCUCGAUGCGGCCGCUCUUGUAGACCCGGAGCAGCGGGCCGAACUCGCGCACGACCUCGUCGGACGGGUCGGGGGCGGGGACGGGGAAGGGGAAUAAAGGCUUGGACGACGCCAUGGCGGACGGCGCCGGACGCAGGCGCGCGCGCUCGUGAGAACCGCGGGGAUGGGCGCCGCGCCGAGUGAGUGACGGAGUGAGCGAUGCGGGCUGUUGGACUUGCGCUUGCCGCUUGGCGUGCUUUGUCUUGCUCGCCUGCCCAGCCCAGGCGGUUGGUUGGUACUUGGUAGGUUGCGGACUCUUUGAUGAGGGACUCGGUCUACGCGUCGCCGGCAGUGCUGACUGCUGACUACGUGAGGGCCGGCACUGCUAGCUUGUCGAUUCGCUGUGACCCGAAAGAUGUGCGGUGUCCAGUUAUCCGGCCUUGAUGGAACCUGUUUGUGGACGCACAAGUCUCGCAUAUACGUAUCCUUCAAUUUUUUUUCUCUUCCACACACGAGAAGAGGAAUUCACUUUCUUCUAGAAGAUCUGAUGUGAUGCUAGUAGUGCUUUCUGCCUGAAAAAUCCCCCGUCAUUAAAUAUGCCAUUAUCUUUUUUUUUCUAUUGCAACACGUGGACACAUCAAAGCAACUUCAAGCUCCUUUUUCC
rnacentral:misc_RNA from 1 species